CUUUACCUUGGUCAAAUAUCUUUGGGUGUAGCUAGCUGGCUAGUUGCUGCAUGUUUCAGGUUAUGCCAAAACACAGAUUUGUAAACAGAAGAUGGCUAUUUACUUUGAUGAACAUGACUGUGAACCAACGAAUCCUGAAGAACAGUACCGCAAGAAUGCACUGCCAGAGCUGGCCAGCAAAGGGCUGAAGUGUCCUGUGUGUUUGCUGGAGUUUGAGGAGCAGGAGACAGUGCGGGAGAUGCRCUGCAAASACCUCUUUCACUCUGGUUGUAUCCUGCCCUGGUUAAGGAAGUUGAGGGCCUGGCCACUGAAUCGACACACACACACGGAUCAAUUCUGUCGAUUAUGAUGUGAAUUUACUAUUUACCUGAACAAUAUAUAACCCUUGGAGAAUCCUAACCUUUGCUGUGUAUCUUUAUAGGCCAAUUCUUGUCCGCUAUGCCGACUCGAGCUACCAACCGACAAUCCAGAGUAUGAGGAGUUUAAGACGGACAAGGUGUGUGUGGAACUCUGGCAUGGGAAAUCAUAAUCAUAAUGCUUGUCCCAUUUAGAGUUGAGACUUUGGAUGUGUCCCAAAUGACACCCUCUUUCCUAUUUAGUGUCCUAUGGGCCCUGGUCAAAACUGUAUAGGGAAUWGGGUGCCAUUUGGCUGAUUUGGGACACAGAAAUGGUCAGCGUCAGCCUGUUACGAAACCUGUUAAAGGAUAAGAGAAAACAGAGGGAACAUAGACUGGAGUAUCUACAUGUAGCCAUGUACACAUAGUGGCUCAGAGCACACUUAUUGCUUAUUUCACAUUUAUUGCAUUGGGUCGCAAUAGAAUUGACAAUUGACAAAAGAUGCAAAAAAAUAUUGUUUAGCUAUUAUGUUUUAUCGUGUGUAUUGUAAAUAUGUCAGUUUUAUAUACAGUCAAUUGUACAAAGACCUGUUUUUUGAUACAGAUAUAAAUGAUGGAUGAUCAUUAUACAAUAUGAAAGGAAUACUGAGGCAGUUCAGUCAGUUUGAACUCUCUCUACAUUCCCUGCGUUAACAUGUCAUACCAUGUCUCUUCCUUUUCCUUUCCCCCCAAGAUGCAAUAUAAUGACCAAAGCAGAUUUUUAAAUGGCAUAUGUUUUGCUGGCCUCACAUUUGUCAGAUUUGAAAAACAAUCUGUUUAUAGUGUUGAUUGCUUUGGCACCAGCAGUAACUCCCUACCCUGGUAUAGGAUAUUGAAGAAAGUUCAAUGAACACCACUCAGUGCACAGAAAAAAACCUGUGAACAUAGUCUAUUCAUAUCCCUUGACUUAUUCC